AGUGAACGCUGGCGGUAGGCCUAACACAUGCAAGUCGAACGGCAGCACAGUAAGAGCUUGCUCUUACGGGUGGCGAGUGGCGGACGAGUGAGGAAUACAUCGGAAUCUACUUUUUCGUGGGGGAUAACGUAGGGAAACUUACGCUAAUACCGCAUACGACCUACGGGUGAAAGCAGGGGAUCUUCGGACCUUGCGCGAUUGAAUGAGCCGAUGUCGGAUUAGCUAGUUGGCGGGGUAAAGGCCCACCAAGGCGACGAUCCGUAGCUGGUCUGAGAGGAUGAUCAGCCACACUGGAACUGAGACACGGUCCAGACUCCUACGGGAGGCAGCAGUGGGGAAUAUUGGACAAUGGGCGCAAGCCUGAUCCAGCCAUACCGCGUGGGUCAAGAAGGCCUUCGGGUUGUAAAGCCCUUUUGUUGGGAAAGAAAAGCAGCAGGUUAAUACCCCGCUGUUCUGACGGUACCCAAAGAAUAAGCACCGGCUAACUUCGUG
rnacentral:rRNA from 1 species